CCGCCGACGACCGGCGCACGGGUGAGUAACACGUAUGCAACCUGGCCGUGACAGAUGGAUAACCGGGAGAAAUCCCGCCUAAUACAACAUAAUGCCGGGAGGGGACAUCCCCUGCCGGCCAAAGGGGGCGACCCCGGUCACGGAUGGGCAUGCGGCGCAUUAGGUAGUUGGUGGGGCAACGGCCCACCAAGCCGACGAUGCGUAGGGGUUCUGAGAGGAAGGUCCCCCACAUUGGAACUGAGACACGGUCCAAACUCCUACGGAAGGCAGCAG
rnacentral:rRNA from 1 species